rnacentral:rRNA from 1 species
CCCUUAGAUGUUCUGGGCCGCACGCGCGCUACACUGACGAUGGCAACGAGUUUUUCCUUCGCCGAAAGGUGUGGGUAAUCUUUUGAAACAUCGUCGUGCUGGGGAUAGAUCAUUGCAAUUUUUGAUCUUGAACGAGGAAUUCCUAGUAAGCGCGAGUCAUCAGCUCGCGUUGAUUACGUCCCUGCCCUUUGUACACACCGCCCGUCGCACCUACCGAUUGGAUGGUCCAGUGAAGCCUCGGGAUUGUGGCGGUUGCCUUUAUUGGUGGCCGCCGCGAGAACUUGUCUAAACCUUAUCAUCUAGAGGAAGGUGAAGUCGUAACA